rnacentral:rRNA from 1 species
GAUGAACGCUGGCGGCGUGCCUAGUACAUGCAAGUCGAGCGAACGGACGAGAAGCUUGCUUCUCUGAUGUUAGCGGCGGACGGGUGAGUAACACGUGGAUAACCUACCUAUAAGACUGGGAUAACUUCGGGAAACCGGAGCUAAUACCGGAUAAUAUUUUGAACCGCAUUGUUCAAAAGUAAAAGACGGUCUUGCUGUCACUUAUAGAUGGAUCCGUGCUGCAUUAGCUAGUUGGUAAGGUAACGGCUUACCAAGUCAACGAUGCAUAGCCGACCUGAGAGGGUGAUCGGCCACACUGGAACUGAGACACGGUCCAGACUCCUACGGGAGGAAGCAGUAGGGAAUCUUCCGCAAUGGGCUAAAGCCUGACGUAGCAACGCCGAGUGAGUGAUGAAGGUCUUCGGAUCGUAAAAUUCUGUUAUUAGGGAAGAACAUAUGUGUAAGUAACUGCGCACAUCUUGACGGUACCUAAUCAGAAAGCCACGGCUAACUACGUG